rnacentral:rRNA from 1 species
UUUUUUAAGAAAUAAUUUAAAAUAAAACCUGCUCAAUGUAAUACAUAAAUAGCUGCAGAUUUCUGUACUAAGGUAGCAUAAUCAUUAGCUUUUUAAUUAAAAGAUAGAAUGAAUGGUUAAACGAAAUAAAUUCUGUUUCUACUUUUAAAAUGAAAUUAAAUAAUAAUUAAAGUUAAAAUUCUUUUAUAAAUAAGAAAGACGACAAGACCCUAAUAAACUUUCCAUUUAGCUGGGGCGGCAAAUUAAACAAACCUUAAACCUUCAACAAAAAAUCUAAUAUAAAUUAAUAUAUUAAGUUACUAUAGGGAUAACAGCGCAACUUUAACUUAAAGUUCUUAUUUAAAUUAAAAUCUACGACCUCGAUGUUGAAUUAAUUAAUCUAUUUAAAGCAAAAUUUUUAAAAGAAGGUCUGUUCGACCAAUAAUAAAUU